rnacentral:rRNA from 1 species
CCCUUAGAUGUUCUGGGCUGCACGCGCGCUACACUGACGCACGCAACAGGUGCCUGCUCCGAGAGGACUGGGUAAUCAUUUGAGUGUGCGUCGUGAUGGGGAUAGAAUAUUGUAAUUAUUACUCUUCAACGAGGAAUUCCUAGUAAGCGCCAGUCAGCAGCUUGCGCUGAUUACGUCCCUGCCCUUUGUACACACCGCCCGUCGCUCCUACCGAUGGGUGAUCCGGUGAAUGAUUCGGACUUCAGCGGCUCCCCUGGGGUGCGCCGGCGAAAGUUUUGUGAACCUUAUCACUUGGAGGAAGGAGAAGUCGUAACA